UACGUAGGGUGCGAGCGUUAAUCGGAGUUACUGGGCGUAAAGCGUGCGCAGGCGGCCCUUCAAGUCAGGCGUGAAAUCCCCGGGCUUAACCUGGGAAUGGCGUCUGAAACUAGAGGGCUGGAGUGUGGCAGAGGGAGGUAGAAUUCCACGUGUAGCGGUGAAAUGCGUAGAUAUGUGGAGGAAUACCGAUGGCGAAGGCAGCCUCCUGGGCCAACACUGACGCUCAUGCACGAAAGCGUGGGGAGCAAACAGGAUUAGAUACCCGUGUAGU
rnacentral:rRNA from 1 species